CAGCAGCCGCGGUAAUACAGAGGUCCCGAGCGUUGUUCGGAUUCAUUGGGCGUAAAGGGUGUGUAGGAGGCCAGGUAAGUCAGGUGUGAAAUCUCAGAGCUUAACUCUGAAACUGCGCUUGAUACUGCUUGGCUAGAGGAUCGGAGGGGGUAACGGAAUUUAUGGUGUAGCAGUGAAAUGCGUAGAUAUCAUAAGGAACACCGGUGGCGAAGGCGGUUACCUGGAAGAUUCCUGACUCUGAAACACGAAAGCCAGGGGAGCAAACGGGAUUAGAUACCCGGGUAGUCCCUGUCUCUUAUAC
rnacentral:rRNA from 1 species